UGUGAGUUGUGACCAACCGAGUCAACUAGGAAGUCAAAAUGCGAGCACUUCACUACUCAUCAUUGAUAAAACCCCCACUCCAUCUCCAUACCGUAUUUUCACUAUCUCCACUCGGAACAACAUUUCUCCACUUCCACUCCUCCACUACUACCCCUUCACUCCCAAAACUAACCGCCGCCAUGUCCGCCGCCAUCGACGGCAGCUCCCCGCCGGAACACGUGGCCGGCGGUUGGUACUCCGUUCCCGAUCUCCGAUUACGUGAUCACCGAUUCAACGUCCCUCUCGAUUACUCUCUCAAUCACACUUCACCUAAAAUCACCGUGUUUGCCCGUGAAGUCGUUGCUGUUGGUAAGGAGGAACAACCUCUGCCAUAUCUACUAUAUCUGCAAGGUGGACCAGGCUUUGAAUGUCCAAGACCAACUGAAGCUGGAGGAUGGAUGAGCAGGGCAUGUGAAGAGUACCGUGUAGUUUUAAUGGAUCAGAGAGGAACAGGUUUAUCAACACCAUUAACACCAUCGUCUAUGUCACAAGUGAAAUCUGCUGCUGAUUUGACUAACUACUUGAGACAUUUCCGAGCUGAUAAUAUAGUACAUGAUGCUGAGUUCAUCCGAAAACGCCUUGUCCCUGAUGCUGGACCUUGGACAAUACUUGGACAGAGCUUCGGAGGAUUUUGUGCAGUUACCUACUUGAGUUUUGCUCCCAAAGGACUCAAACAAGCUCUUAUAACUGGCGGACUGCCUCCAAUUGGUAAAGGAUGCACGGCUGAUGCUGUUUAUAAGGCAGGCUUUGAAGCGCUUGUUCAUCAGAAUAAGAAAUAUUACAAGAGGUUUCCAGAGGAUAUUGAGAUUGCUCGUGAUGUAGUAAAUUACCUGGCAGAUUCUGAAGGAGGGGGGGUGCCUCUUCCAUCUGGCGGCAUCUUAACACCUCGAGGACUACAACUUCUUGGUCUCUCAGGUCUAGGAUCGAGUGCCGGUUUUGAACGGCUGCAUUACCUGUUUGAGAGAGCCUGGGAUCCUGUAAUAGCCCAAGGAGCAAAAAGGAGAAUCAGUGACUACUUCUUGAAUGCUUAUGAGAGAUGGAUAGCAUUUGAUACAAACCCUUUAUAUGCUCUUUUGCAUGAAAGCAUAUAUUGUCAGGGUGCCUCAUCCCUGUGGUCUGCUCAGAGAAUUAGGGCUGAAAAUGAGAACAAAUUCGAUGCAAUUGAGGCAGCAAAAGGCGGCCGCCCUGUACUUUUUACUGGAGAGAUGAUAUUCCCAUGGUUGUUUGAUGAAGUUCAUGUCUUGAAGCCAUUCAAAGAUGCUGCCCAGCUAUUAGCAGAGCAGAAGGAUUGGCCGGCAUUAUAUGACAUUGCUGCAUUAAAUGAUAACAAAGUACCAGUUGCAGCUGCUGUGUACUACGAAGACAUGUAUGUCAACUUCAAGCUAUCUAUGGAGACCGCUUCUCAGAUUGCAGGAAUCAGGCCUUGGAUUACUAAUGAGUACAUGCACUCUGGUCUGAGAGAUGCUGGAAGUCGAGUUUUAGAUCAUUUGCUUGCUAUGUUAAAUGGAAAGAAGCCCCUGUUUUAACUCUAGUGGCCACCACCAUCCACUCUUUCUCUUGAACGUCAACGGCUUUAGAUAAUGAUCAUGGAUUUAUUGUUGUUUAGAUGCAAGCUUUGGAUGUAUCAGGAAGGCAAGAACUACACAAUUUGCCUUAAACAAAAACAGUGAAACAGAAGUUGAAUUGUUGUUGGCUUUUAGAAUUUUACGAGGGGCUUGUAUCA